rnacentral:sRNA from 1 species
GCCUGUGGCAUGAUGGCACAUGCCUGUAAUCCCAGCAACACAGGAGGCUGAGGCAGGAGAAUCUCAAGUUGAGGUCAGCCUCACCAACUUAGUGAAACCCUGUCUCAA